rnacentral:rRNA from 1 species
GUGAGAUGUUGGGUUAAGUCCCGCAACGAGCGCAACCCUCGUUCUAUGUUGCCAGCACGUAAUGGUGGGAACUCAUGGGAUACUGCCGGGGUCAACUCGGAGGAAGGUGGGGAUGACGUCAAAUCAUCAUGCCCCUUAUGUCUUGGGCUUCACGCAUGCUACAAUGGCCGGUACAAAGGGCUGCAAUACCGUGAGGUGGAGCGAAUCCCAAAAAGCCGGUCCCAGUUCGGAUUGAGGUCUGCAACUCGACCUCAUGAAGUCGGAGUCGCUAGUAAUCGCAGAUCAGCAACGCUGCGGUGAAUACGUUCCCGGGUCUUGUACACACCGCCCGUCAAGUCAUGAAAGUCGGUAACACCUG